UGGGUUUGACAUAUACCGGAAACGUCUGGAGACAGGCGCCCCCUUGUGGUCGGUGUACAGGUGGUGCAUGGCUGUCGUCAGCUCGUGUCGUGAGAUGUUGGGUUAAGUCCCGCAACGAGCGCAACCCUUGUUCUGUGUUGCCAGCAUGCCUUUCGGGGUGAUGGGGACUCACAGGAGACUGCCGGGGUCAACUCGGAGGAAGGUGGGGAUGACGUCUCCUCAUGCGUU
rnacentral:misc_RNA from 1 species